rnacentral:lncRNA from 1 species
CAACAAACUUUUUUAGGUUGACAUUGUUCAUCUCAGCAACAAAGAGGUAGAAUUUAGGGUGGAAGAAGAAUACAGCAGGAUAUUUUCCACAAGAAUAGAUCCAAGGGAGCUCACAGAAAGAGUCAUUUAGCGGUUGGCAAUUUUAUUUUUUUAGAACUGGUAGCAACCAGGGGAGGUUUCUGAAGCCUGGGAGAGGGUAACAGGAAUGCCCAUCUUGGAAAAAAGGCAAAACAAGGGGACUAAGGAGCCAUAGACCAGUCAGCCUACUUAGUACAUGGAAAAGCGCUGGAAGAAGUAAUCAAGCAAAUUAUUUAUGAGCCUCUAGAAUAUAGCAUGGAGAUAAGUAACAGCCAACAGGGAUUUGUCAGGAACAAAUCAUGUCAAACUCACCCUAUUUCCUCCUAUGACAGGGCAAUAAGCCAUGAGGAGAGGCAAUGAAUAUCAUACAUCUUCACCCAGCAAGGCUUCUGAUGUCUCAAGCCACACUCUCCUGUAGAUGCCACAGGGAUGCAGACCAUGGAGUGGGAAAAAGCCACUGACAAUGAACCAUCACCUCUGUGCCCCAUCCCUAUGGUGGGAUACAUGGCAACAGGGACAGCUGGAGAAAAGGGUGCCACACUCUUCUUUGGAAAGGGGACAAAACAAGGUGAGCUCAUCAUAACUGAAACUAUAUCCUGCUCUCCCUGGACUUCUUGCCAAUGAGGAGUGUCACAAAGCCAUAGAUUCAGCUUCCAAGUUCAGGAAUCAAAACAUGGAUGCAGGGGAACGGGAAGAGAAAGACGGGUUAAUGUGCUUCAGAGAAGAAGAUCGUCCAGGAGGAAUGCUGAUGGGUAGUCACCUGCCCUACUUUUACCUUUCAUGUUGGAUGCUAUCUUUUACUAGAUUGCCAAAAUCUUCAUUCAUGAAAAUAGGAACUUCAGAGCACUCAGACUUCAGCAAAUCAGUGUGUAUUUGGGGAGCCUAAAUCCAAACUAAGAAGAAUAAUUUUGUGCUUUUCAUACCACUGGCAAAAUGUAAAUUUCAUUGGUGCAAUGUUCACUCAUUAUCGCUGAAUCAAAGAGCAGUCUCAGUUCCUGCUGGCAUCCUAUUUAGCAGAAAAAUAAAAGUCUCUUCUGUUGCA